UACGGAGGAUCCAAGCGUUAUCCGGAUUUAUUGGGUUUAAAGGGUGCGUAGGCGGCCUAUUAAGUCAGGGGUGAAAGACGGUAGCUCAACUAUCGCAGUGCCCUUGAUACUGAUGGGCUUGAAUGAACUAGAGGUAGGCGGAAUGUGACAAGUAGCGGUGAAAUGCAUAGAUAUGUCAUAGAACACCGAUUGCGAAGGCAGCUUACUAUGGUUUUAUUGACGCUGAGGCACGAAAGCGUGGGGAUCAAACAGG
rnacentral:rRNA from 1 species